rnacentral:rRNA from 1 species
UACGAAGGGUGCUAGCGUUGUUCGGAAUCACUGGGCGUAAAGAGCGUGUAGGCGGCCAAGUAAGUCUGCUGUGAAAACUCGAGGCUUAACCUCGAGCUGUCGGCGGAAACUAUUUGGCUAGAGUCCGGAAGAGGAGAAUGGAAUUCCCGGUGUAGCGGUGAAAUGCGCAGAUAUCAGGAGGAACACCGAUAGCGAAGGCAGCUCGCUGGGACGGUACUGACGCUGAGGUGCGAAAGCGUGGGGAGCGAACAGG